CCUUUCUUUGCCUAUUAUAAGGGAACAAGAGAAACAACGUGUAUAUGGUGAAGUGGUGAUGAACAAAAACAUCUUCACCCAACCCGUAGAGCAUCAUCGUUUGGAGGUGAAGUCUGCACCAAGUCAACCAACUGAGACAGAUGUGACGGUCCCACCACUACCAAAGCAUACCAAACCUUCCCAUUACCAAACCUUCCACACAAUCCAGACAACCAAUAUGGUAAUGAUAAUGUUGAGAUUCAAGAGAACAUCCCUCCACCAGUCAACAUGUUCAAAUCUACCAGUGUUCCAGUCAAAGAAGAAUCUUCUUGGUCACCAGCAAAGAAACAAAAACAGCAAUGACUAAACUUUUAGGAGACGUUUUCAUUACAAACCUUGAAGGAGGACAUAAGUGCAAUUAGAACAGAUUGAAGAUGAAGUACAAGUGUAUAAGCAGAGUCAUUCUGUUACUGUGGGUUCUAAUCUGCUCUUGUGGUGGAAGGAGAAUUGCUACCGUUUCCAACAUCUGUCAGAAUGUGUCAAGUGUCUUUUGGUCAUACCAGGUACAACAGUACCCAGCGAGCAGGUUUUCGCAACUGCAGGUGACUUGUCACCAGUUCACGAUUUUGCCUCAAACCAGAGGACGUGGAUAUGCUCGUAUUCCUGAAAACAAAAUUAGAAAAUGUGAGAAAGUGAAAUUUGUGUGUAGUAAUAGUAUGACAUUUGGCUACAAACACGUUGAACAGUUGAAUGUAGACAUUUCAACAAACGCUUAAUAAACAUCCUUAUAAGUUACAAAUUUUAAAACAUUGAACUCUCUUAUUAGAGGAAUUACAGGUCUGCAGUAAAUGCAGUUGGAAACUUAUCAGAUGAUUGUCUGAUGUUAUUCAGAUGUUCUUGUAAGUUUUUAGACUUUUAGUCUCAUUUAGAUACGGACUGAAAAAGUUACGUCUGUGUUCUGACUCAUCUUUGACCAUAUUAUUUUUUUAAUUCGAUUUCCAGCAGUUGAUGUUUACAUUCAUUAACAAUGAUUAAGACUGUGUCAGUCAUCUAGUCAGUACCUAGUCUUUCAGGGUAAUACAGUUUGUAGAGAGUGAUGCACCAUGUAAAUCUAUGUUGACUAUGGACAGACUUGUAUCAAGAGGACUGAUAAUGAUAAUUAUGCUGAAGUUAAUAUUCUAUUUCCAGCUUGUGAUGUAGGUGUUUGUCACUCCUGGAGUUUUGAAUAAUCAAGAUUAUAUAGUGAUCUAGAUCAUCUACUCACUGUAUAUGAUCUGCCAGAUGGUCCGGGAAAGCAAUGCAACCUUAUGAUUUAUGAAUUUAAAAGUUUGUAUGUUUCAGCUUGUUUGACAAACAAUUAUGCAGUUUCCCACUCUUGUAUUGAGUUGAUGUUAUCAUAUUGUGGACAUUCAUUCAUUUGCUCAUUACGAUUGUUCCAGUGAUCUUGUCAAUUAGGGCAUACAGUUUUAAAGCGACAAAUUUAACUCAAAGUGACAUGGGUGAAUGAUAGAGUAACUUGUUUGUUUAUUACAACAGUGUUAUUGUUAUACUUAAAUACCUUGAAAUAAAUCAUUUUAAAUCUUAA